GAUGAACGCUAGCGACAGGCUUAACACAUGCAAGUCGAGGGGCAGCAUAGAAGUAGCAAUACUUUGGUGGCGACCGGCGCACGGGUGAGUAACGCGUAUGCAACCUACCUAUCAGAGGGGAAUAACCCGGCGAAAGUCGGACUAAUACCGCAUAAGACAGGGGCACCGCAUGGUGAUAUUUGUUAAAGAAAUUCGCUGAUAGAUGGGCAUGCGUUCCAUUAGGUAGUUGGUGAGGUAACGGCUCACCAAGCCGACGAUGGAUAGGGGAACUGAUAGGUUGGUCCCCCACACUGGUACUGAGACACGGACCAGACUCCUACGGGAGGCAGCAGUGAGGAAUAUUGGUCAAUGGGCGGGAGCCUGAACCAGCCAAGUCGCGUGAAGGAAGAAGGAUCUAUGGUUCGUAAACUUCUUUUGCAGGGGAAUAAAGUGCAGGACGUGUCCUGUUUUGUAUGUACCCUGAGAAUAAGGAUCGGCUAGCUCCGUGCCAGCAGCCGCCGUAACAC
rnacentral:rRNA from 1 species